rnacentral:rRNA from 1 species
AUUGAGCGCUGGCGGCAGGCUUAACACAUGCAAGUCGAGCGGGGUGAUGGUGCUUGCACUAUCACUUAGCGGCGGACGGGUGAGUAAUGCUUAGGAAUCUGCCUAUUAGUGGGGGACAACAUCUCGAAAGGGAUGCUAAUACCGCAUACGUCCUACGGGAGAAAGCAGGGGAUCACUUGUGACCUUGCGCUAAUAGAUGAGCCUAAGUCGGAUUAGCUAGUUGGUGGGGUAAAGGCCUACCAAGGCGACGAUCUGUAGCGGGUCUGAGAGGAUGAUCCGCCACACUGGGACUGAGACACGGCCCAGACUCCGACGGGAGGCAGCAGUGGGGAAUAUUGGACAAUGGGGGGAACCCUGAUCCAGCCAUGCCGCGUGUGUGAAGAAGGCCUUAUGGUUGUAAAGCACUUUAAGCGAGGAGGGGGCUCUUUUGGUUAAUACCCAAGAUGAGUGGACGUUACUCGCAGAAUAAGCACCGGCUAACUCUGUGCCAGCCGCCGCGGUAA